UGCCAGCAGCCGCGGUAAUACGGAGGGUGCAAGCGUUAAUCGGAAUUACUGGGCGUAAAGGGUGCGUAGGUGGUUUUGUAAGUUAUGUGUGAAAUCCCCGGGCUUAACCUGGGAGGGUCAGAUAAUACUGCAAGACUAGAGUAUGAGAGAGGGUAGUGGAAUUUCCGGUGUAGCGGUGAAAUGCGUAGAGAUCGGAAGGAACACCAGUGGCGAAGGCGGCUACCUGGCUUAAUACUGACACUGAGGCACGAAAGCGUGGGGAGCAAACAGGAUUAGAUA
rnacentral:rRNA from 1 species